CCACUGCUCUCGUUUUGCCCGAUCUUGCAUCUGAUGCUUUGGUGUAUAGAAAUCUUGCUGUUGCACUGAGAACAGCCCCUUAAAAUGGCCGUGGUGGGAGCAAUGUCUGCCCUGAUAACGACCCUGUGGUGGCCACCAUUGUAGCGCCACCAGCCAUUUGAUGAUGCCCAUCGUCGCCCUCAGAGACAAGCUGUCGUUGCUCAUAGCUCCUCAGCAUCGUUUGCUCUGUCACCUGCAAUCCGCUGCGCCGCUGCCGUGUUACGUUGAUGUUCGCCAGUCAAGAUCUGCUGUUGCGCCAGACCCGAACUCAUCGUAGUCGCCAGCGGCAGUGCAGUCGACGGAGACUCCCCAGCUUGGAGCUGUUGGUGGUGGUCGGUGACGGGAGGAUCGAGGAGUGUGGUGCCGGCUGCAGGUUCGCAGUGGCGGUGGCAUCAUUCCCUUUUCUCAGACGGUAAUUGCCUGGAAACUUCAGAAGGCAGCCCUACAGCAUGUGACUCAUGGGAGUGUGGGCUCCGCCGUCAGGUUCUUGCUACGGGUACCACCUCAUCGGUCAUGUAUUCGGGUACGUGUCGCUGAAUUCUUCUUAGUUUAACAUCGUAAGAGGGAUCCAAAACCCUUCUUUUUUGUGUUUGUGAUUUCGUGAGAUCUCUUCGAGCCUUCUCCGCUGGCCGUCAGCGGAUGCUCCGCCGAUCGCACAGGGUGGGGCCGCGCAGCUUCACUGGGACGUGAUCGACCCCGUGACGAGAUGUCGCGGUGAAGGGGCAUUCCACCCAUUCGAAUCGUUCGUCUUUCCGUCUCUCCUGCUUGAGUAGAUGCAGUGGACAAUGAAGAGGACUACAGAGACCACCUCACUUGUGGUAGGUAUUCUUUGCAAAUCCUUACCUUACGAACGGCAAGGUUAAUAAGCAAGGGAAGCUACAUUCAGAUUUACAGAUUUUCAGACGCAAGAAUCCCCACGAGUUCCUGUGACUGAGUUCGGAUGACCCUCCUUUGAUAAGAAGGCAGCUGCUACUGUAUGAUUGGAGUAUGAUGAUAUUUGGAUCAGUCUAGGUCGUCACUCAAAGGUGCAUGAAUGAAAAAUGAAGGCUCUCUUGUGAAGUUGCUACUAUCAAGUGAAUGAUUGAUUAAGGAACUCAUUUAGGGUCGAACUGAAGAUUGUGAUUGCUGAUGUUCCUAAUACAAUGGAAGGGUUUUGAUCACCUUGCUGAAGUCCAAGAUAGUAUUGGAAGCAUUAACAAGGACCAAGUGUUGAAGGCUCAUGAAAGUGAAAUUAUUAAAGAAAAUGAGAGGUUCUUUGCCUUAAUUACUGGUAAUAUAGAAGGAGGUAUCUUCUGAAAUGUAAUAAUCUCAUUUCUCAGUACCAUGUGGCUACAAGCAGAAGGUGGAGUGAACAAAGUGGACAUAUCAGCCAAUGUAGUGCUUUCCUCUGGUUGAAUAGCAUACUUCUGGGGAUAAUUAUAGAGAAUCUGGAGUUCAGCAAUUACUAAAGCUGACACAUAGGUUUAAACUUCACCGUCUGAUCAGAGAUGAUGUACAACAACAGCUUUAUGCGAACCCCAUGCAACCAUGUCUUGUGUGGUGAAAUUAGAAAGUACCAGAAGUAGCAUUGAUUCUGCAGAACUUCUGCACUGGCUAGCGGAUGAAAUAAUCCACUAUUGGUACUGCUCAUAGAGACAGGCCUUCAGAAUUUUUACCAGAUGGUGAAUGAAAUAUUA